AUUGAACGCUGGCGGCAUGCCUUACACAUGCAAGUCGAACGGUAACGCGGGGCAACCUGGCGACGAGUGGCGAACGGGUGAGUAAUGCAUCGGAACGUGCCCAGUAGUGGGGGCUAGCCCGGCGAAAGCCGGAUUAAUACCGCAUACGACCUAUGGGUGAAAGCGGGGGACCGUAAGGCCUCGCGCUAUUGGAGCGGCCGAUGUCAGAUUAGGUUGUUGGUGGGGUAAAGGCCUACCAAGCCGACGAUCUGUAGCUGGUCUGAGAGGACGACCAGCCACACUGGGACUGAGACACGGCCCAGACUCCUACGGGAGGCAGCAGUGGGGAAUUUUGGACAAUGGGGGCAACCCUGAUCCAGCCAUGCCGCGUGCGGGAAGAAGGCCUUCGGGUUGUAAACCGCUUUUGUCAGGGAAGAAACGCUCUGGGCUAAUACCUCGGGGUAAUGACGGUACCUGAAGAAUAAGCACCGGCUAACUACGUGCCAGCAGCCGCCGUAACAC
rnacentral:rRNA from 1 species